rnacentral:rRNA from 1 species
UACAGAGGAUGCAAGCGUUAUCCGGAAUGAUUGGGCGUAAAGCGUCUGUAGGUGGCUUUUUAAGUCCGCCGUCAAAUCCCAGGGCUCAACUCUGGACAGGCGGUGGAAACUACCAAGCUGGAGUACGGUAGGGGCAGAGGGAAUUCCCGGUGUAGUGGUGAAAUGCGUAGAGAUCGGGAGGAACACCUGUGGCGAAGGCGGCCGACUGGGCCGACCCUGACGCUGAGGCGCGAAGGCGUGGGGAGCGAACGGG